rnacentral:ncRNA from 1 species
ACAAAGGCGUGGAAGAGGAAGAGUAACCCGGUGUAACUGUGCAGAGAGCGGGGUAGGGUGAAAGCCCGUCAGGUAAGCCCGGUGAACAUGGCCUUAGAGCUGCUGGCAGAAAUGUGUUGCCGUCUUAUUACAGAGAUCGCCGAAGAUGUUGCGGCGAAAGUGUAAGCAAAGUGUAUCGUCAAAUUUCGACAAUGGGGUUGGUUUUGGGGUAACCACCGGCUUCAUUUAGGAUAUGACGGUUUACGAUUUUGGCGAAAGACACAGUAGGCCGGGCCGGGUAGAGUACCCGUUAGCAUACUUAAAAGAGACCGUGCUUAUUGUGCUUUUUUUGAUGUUUUUAUUUAGGUGCGGUAAUUUGGGUGGUACCGCGGAGGUUAACUUCGUCCCUAGA